AACUUUAGACUAUCCUUUUGGUAACUUAAAUCAUUACCUUUGAUGGGAUGAUCUGAGAUUGGGUCUUUUACUUAACUCUGUCACAUAGCAGACUGUCGUGGAGAGGCAUUUUUUAAAAUAGUAUUGUUUUUGUUUUUAAAGCGCUAUCACACACCUCCAAGAUCAAGAUCCUGUUCUGAGUCAGAUGAUGAUGACAGCAGUGAAACUCCUCCUCACUGGAAAGAGGAAAUGCAGAGAUUAAGAGCAUAUAGACCACCUAGUGGAGAAAAAUGGAGUAAAGGAGAUAAGUUAAGUGACCCCUGUUCAAGCCGAUGGGAUGAAAGAAGCUUGUCUCAGAGAUCCAGAUCAUGGUCCUAUAAUGGAUAUUAUUCAGACCUUAGUACAGCAAGACACUCUGAUGGCCACCAUAAAAAACGCAGAAAAGAAAAAAAGGUUAAGCAUAAAAAGAAAGGGAAAAAGCAGAAACACUGCAGAAGACACAAACAAACAAAGAAGAGAAGGAUUCUUAUACCGUCUGACAUAGAAUCCUCAAAAUCUUCCACUCGAAGAGUGAAAUCCUCUUGUGAUAGAGAAGGGAGU
rnacentral:sRNA from 1 species